AGGAUUUGAUCCUGGUCCAGGAUGAAUGCUGGCGGCGUGGAUUAGGCAUGCAAGUCGAACGGUUGUAUUUAGAAUUUAUUUUAAAUACAACAGUGGCGAACGAGCUAGUAACGCCUUGGUACCUACCCUUAAGAUGGAAACAGCUCGUCGAAAGACGGGGUAAUUUCCAAUAGUAUCAAUUUUAUAUUGAUUAAAGGCGCAAGCCGCUUAAGGAUGGGCCUAGGUCCGAUCAGCUAGUUGGUGGGGUAAUUGCUCACCAAGGCUAUGACCGGUAGGGGAGCUGAGAGGCUGUUCCCCAGCGAGAGGCACUGAGACACGGGCCCUACUCCUACGGGAGGCAGCAGCCGAGAAUAUUCCGCAAUGGGCGAAAGCCUGACGGAGCGACGCCGCGUAAAGGAAGAAGCCCUUCGGGGUGUAAACUUUUUUUCACAAAGAAGAACUUUGAUUUUUUCAAAGUGACGGUAUUUGUGGAAUAAGACGCUGCUAACCUCGUGCCAGCAGCAGCGGUAACACGGGGGCGUCAAGCAUUAUCCGGAUUUAUUGGGCGUAAAGAGUACGUAGGCGCUUUAUUAAGUCUGAUGUUCAAUUUUAGAGCUUAACUCUAAAGCCGCAUUAGAAACUAAUAAGGUAGAGAAAGAGAGAGGUUAGCGGAACGCACGGUGUAGGGGUGAAAUCCGUUGAUAUCGUGCGGAACACCAAAAGCGAAGGCAGCUAACUGGCUCUUUUCUGACGCUGUUACGUACGAAAGCGUGGGGAGCGAACAGGAUUAGAUACCCUGGUAGUCCACGCCCUAAACGAUGUCAACUAGCCAUUGGAAGAAUCGACCCUUUCAGUGGCGAAGCUAACGCGUUAAGUUGACCGCCUGGGAAGUACGGUCGCAAGGCUAAAACUCAAAGGAAUAGACGGGGACUCGCACAAGCGGUGGUUCAUGAGGUUCAAUUCGACAGCAAACGAGGCACCUCACCAGGGCUUGACAUGCAGUCCUUAUGCUUUUUUUGAAAAGAAAAAGUUUUUACCGCAAGGUAAACGGACUGCACAGGUGCU
rnacentral:rRNA from 1 species